rnacentral:rRNA from 1 species
AGUGAACGCUGGCGGUAGGCCUAACACAUGCAAGUCGAACGGCAGCACAGGAGAGCUUGCUCUCUGGGUGGCGAGUGGCGGACGGGUGAGGAAUACAUCGGAAUCUACUCUGUCGUGGGGGAUAACGUAGGGAAACUUACGCUAAUACCGCAUAUGACCUACGGGUGAAAGCAGGGGACCUUCGGGCCUUGCGCGAUUGAAUGAGCCUAUGUCGGAUUAGCUAGUUGGCGGGGUAAAGGGCCACCAAGGCGACGAUCCGUAGCUGGUCUGAGAGGAUGAUCAGCCACACUGGAACUGAGACACGGUCCAGACUCCUACGGGAGGCAGCAGUGGGGAAUAUUGGACAAUGGGCGCAAGCCUGAUCCAGCCAUACCGCGUGGGUGAAGAAGGCCUUCGGGUUGUAAAGCCCUUUUGUUGGGAAAGAAAUCCAGCUGGCUAAUACCCGGUUGGGAUGACGGUACCCAAAGAAUAAGCACCGGCUAACUUCGUGCCAGCCGCCGCGGUAA